rnacentral:rRNA from 1 species
CAGUCGCCGCGGGAAUACGAAGGGUGCAAGCGUUAAUCGGAAUUACUGGGCGUAAAGCGCGCGUAGGUGGUUUGGUAAGAUGGAUGUGAAAUCCCCGGGCUCAACCUGGGAACUGCAUCCAUAACUGCCUGACUAGAGUACGGUAGAGGGUGGUGGAAUUUCCUGUGUAGCGGUGAAAUGCGUAGAUAUAGGAAGGAACACCAGUGGCGAAGGCGACCACCUGGACUGAUACUGACACUGAGGUGCGAAAGCGUGGGGAGCAAACAGGAUUAGAGACCCGGGUAGUCCCUGUCUCUUAUAC